GAUUAAGAGAGAACCAUUGGGGUAAACUCCCUCGCAAACCACAAGCAUCAAAGGAUAAGCACUAACGGACUCAGUCUCACUCUCGUUACGGCGUUCAUCGCCAAAUGAAUAUUCACGACAAACGCACCUGCGAGUCCUGGCGACUGGUCUAAUUUAUAGCGAGCAGUUCGGCGAAUUCUAGCCGGUUGUGGAGAGUGAGGAAGGGAGGGUAGGCGGAUACUCCUGCAAGAAACAGUCAUUUUUCAAGGGGGUAAACCGAGGGAGAGAGGUGAAAGGAAGAAGGUAAAACGAGGGGGUUAACGCACACGAGCGAUAGUGAAAAAGGCGAGUGCACAACUGCAUUCACCCAGGAUAUGGUGAAACGACGGCGACUGAAGAGUUUAUUGCUGGAGAAUACGCCCGGAUAGUACAAGCUGUAUAUACAAACCCUACCACCCCUGCGAUCUCGGAUUUUAGUGCUUCAAAAUUUCACAUGAUAAAAAUAGUUGAAAUAUAAAUGAAUUUAUCUGGCCAAGUGUUGAAUUAAUUAACCUGAUUAAUACGCUUUGUCAAAUUUUCUAUAAACGCUGAGAUUAUUUGGUGUGUAACUUGUGAUAUAAUUUAACAUUAAAAAAAAAGAGAAUUAUCUAAAAAGGAACAUCCUAGAAUUACCUUAUAUUCGGAGAAUAAAGGCAUGAUAAUCCAAACGACAAUGCAAGGAUAAUUAUUCUGAUAGACCACAAUGGUUUAUCAUGAAUUUGAAGUAUUAUUUCAAUCAAUUAGCAAAUAUUCUGAAUGACUCAGGGACGAAUCAAUGAUCAUCAUUGAUGAAUAUCUGUAGAAUAUUGUUACCAUUGGCGGAGAAGUGUCAAACAUCCAAAAAUGUGAUGGUGUUGUCAUUGCCAUGUGACAAUAUCUGAUAAUUUUCAUAAAAUUGAAGAAAUAUUUAAAUCAUGAAAUUCUCCAUACAUUGAACUUCUUGCCACGGGGGGAAAAAAUUCAAGAAAAAAAUCACGCCACUUUUAUAGAAAUUUCGUAGCUGAAAUUUCGGCGCAUGCGUAUUUCUCGGUGACAAUAAAAUAAUGAUAGAAUGAAAUACUAGCGCAGAAUAGUUCACUCGAGGCCAGAGAGUAUUAAUUAUAUUCUUUAUGUGAUGCUAUGGCUUAGAUCAUUCACUGCUUUAAUCCUGCAUAAUCUAACGAAAAUAUGAGCACUCCCGGACUAUUGACAGAGAUGUAUGAUUUUUUAUGAUUCGUGGGUCGUAGUACCUCGCCCGGCUAAAUGAGCCGUCACAAUAGUACGGAUUUUGGUUCCAGUAACACAGUGGACAAUCAUUGAGAAUUGCAAAUGUCCGGGUAUGAUUCUACGAAAUCACUUUAAAUGCUGUAACAUUCCUGGUGAUAUUUUAUGAUAAUACUGACGUUGUAAGUUCGCAAAAUGUUUACGUACUCGAACCUCUGACAAGCACUAUAUGUGCUAGCUUUUGAGAACCUGAAACUGUGUCAUAGUAUUUAUCUUAAGAGUGAUGAAAGCCAAAAGCGUGGAGAGAUACUGCCUGAAUGUAUCAUGAAAAAAAAAAAAAAACCAGUGCAAGGCUGUUAGUCCUGGAGUUGGUUGAAAUGCAGGAGAAAAGCUUGUUGUCUUUCAUAUUUACAAUAGUGUCCUUUUUUCAUGUUUUUUCAAUUUGUCGGAUGUUUCAUUGCGAAGAUAAUAUUUCAGUCUAAAUAGAUUUGAAAUGCAUGUGGAAUCAGUGACUAUAAACAUUUGUUGUGAAAGACGUUUCAAAAGAAGGUUUGCGAUAGACUAAAUAUGAGAGACCAUAAGUUUUCGUUAGAAAUCCUAGUAUUUUUUGUUCAGGUCGUGCCGAAAAGAGCCGUUCCAUUUACUAGUAACCGAAAAAUGGCACAGUUUGCCGCUCGCUUGACGUAACGUCACAAACAAAAAGUAUACUUCCGAUACUUGGGUUAGUUCCGAGCUGCCAACUUCAUACUCCUCAUCUCCACAUCACACUUAUAUCUUGAGUCCUAAUUUUUCAACAUUUCUGUCAUUGAAAAACCGAAUUCGUAAUUAAAUCGAUAAUUAAACUGACGAAAAAAUUAAAAUUCCAAAGGUGAUUGAAUUUUAUACAAAUUUUGUGGAAUUUUUCGAUGAUCUUUAAAUUUACUAAAACGAUACAAUUACUUGCAUCAAUAUUCUUAUUAUCUGGCCUUUUUGAUCCAACAGUAAUCCAUUACAAAUUCAAUCUCAUCUAAUAUUAAUAUUGUUGUAAACUAUAUCAUCUCGUCUGCACAUAUCCCAAUUCCGUGUAAGCUGACUUUAAUCCACGCCAGUAUAACACACGGAGAGAAAAAUUCUUAAGAAAUUACGUGCCCGUUUCGUAAUCUGCCAGUUAAAACAAUAUUCGGUAAAUAUUACAAAACAGUUAUGCACUUUUUUAAUCAACUUUCAGGCAACAGUUCAUUAUGUUCAAAGACAAGUAUGGAACGUUCAGUAAAGAAAUGGGUUACUGUUCCGUAAUUUUUAUUGAAUAUUGUUUUGACUGGAAGAUUACGGAACAGGCAUAUAAUUUUUAAAGAAUUUGUCUCUCUGUGCACACCAUGUUUUAGUGAAUAUAAAGGAUUUGCCUGAUUACAAAAGCAGUAAAGAAUCAAUGUGACAAGUUAAUAGUCCUAUUCCAUUUUCAAACACCGCAAUUGAUUUUCUUAUAUAAACUGAACUUCUGGGGAUUAGGUAUCGAUACCAAUGUUUCCAUCUCGUAAUUCGAAACGUGAUAGCCGAUAUCCAGGCGUGACGAGGAAGUAGGUGUAGGCACUUUGAGUAUAUUCUUCACGACAAUAACACGACUUUAUAUUUCCACGUCGGAAGUGGCUCCGAUAGGAUAUCGUGUUUACUGAGAGAAGUAGCGAAAAAGGUACACCAAGUUGUGGUGAAACCCCUCUAAAAGUGGGGUGCGGGUACUAUAACAAGUCCUGAGUUUCGUGUGCUAGUAAGUAUCACAGAGCGCCGAGUUACGUGUACUAGCUGAUUGGUGUUUUCCAGGAUCUUGAUUGUUGCCAUUUCUCUCGGAGAAAAUACGAGCGUUGAUUUGCACAUUAUCGCACGGAUGUCUCCGUCAGUCCUUGGUUUAUCUUUAAUUAUUCGUUCUUGAGGCAGCUCGGAACUCUUCAAGGCUCAUUAAUGUCACUUAUAAACUAGUUUGUUUCCAUUUUUUAUUAAAAAAAAAAAAAACAAUAGGGAUGUACAUCAGAUAUUUGUGUAAGAAAUCCCUAAUUAUUAUUUAUUAUCUUUAGUUGACUGUGGCAUAAUCUGAAGUACAGCAUGAUACAAUUAUUUGAAGAAUAAAAAAGAUCAACAUACAAAUAUUCGACGAAGGAUACGGAACAAAAAUCAAAUCUCCCAAGAUAUCAAACAGAUUAUUAAACGAAUAUGUACUUGUACUACCAACUAAACCUCUCCUUCUCUUUCCCUUUCCCGGAAGCUUUCAUCAAAUGCUGUAGGAAAAUAGCCAAGGAGAGCAAUAAAGUUAUACAAUAAAGAUUUGUAAUCUGAAGUUCCUGCACCCAAAAGUCUUAGGUACGUUACGCGAUAACUUCAGGACUUAGUUAAGUGAAUCAAUAAAUUUCUGAAUCUAUCAGCGAAAAUCUUGAUAAUGAUAAUUAUUCCGUGAAGAAAGGGUACAGUUGAAACAAUUUGAACACUCAGUGGAACAUAUUGUGAGAUUUAAACGCCGAGAAAUAACGAAAUGAGUGAAAUAGUAUACAUAUAAAUGGUGAAAUAGUACAUUAUGCACCAAGGGCUGUAAAUCAUAUUGUCUCGCUCAAGGUGCGUAUGUUAAUUUUUAAUACGGCUUCAAAGGAAAGUUUUUAUUUAGCUGUCUGGAGAGCAGGCGGAAAGUAUCCAUUUCCUCCUGUUCAUAAGAGAUCAAAGUACAAGCUUUCCGGGCAUGGCUGUUGAAAAACAAUCUUACCCAGAGCACUAAUGAAGGUGUGGUAGGAAAAAAAAUUAACCAGAAUGUAAGUGGUCAAACAUUUGAAAAUUAGGGAUAAAUCGCGACUCCCUAAAUUGAGUGAGCAAUGAGACAGCUUAUCUUCUAUGAGCUGUUCGUAUACAUGUGUAUACUUGAGAAUUCAGAGAGUGGAGUGUGUAAUAAGACGGAAUACGUAAUUCAUUCUAAGGAAGAAUCGAAAUAUUUAGUCCCCUUAGUUGAGACAGAUAGCUAAUGUGAUUCGUAAACUAUCGAAAAACAAUAUUACCGCCUGAAAUAGAAUCUCUAGUUUGAGUUGCUCUACUCUGGUAGGUCCUCAAGUUGGAGUUUAUCAAAAAUACAAUCUUUAUGCGGAAUCGUCAACUAUAAAUGUAUGGAAAUUUUACGCAUCAAGUGGUAUAGCAAGAAUAAACAAAAACAUAGUACUAUUUAUAGAUUGCAUAUGCAUAGUAAUAUAUGUGCUGGCAAGAGAGGCAUCCCGAGCGUAUCCGAGACCAGCACCUGGUUGGGAUUUGCAUGGGACAAUAUCUCGUCUGAUUUAUCCCCUCAGGCUACCGCGCUCUCGGGAUAGGAAGAAAAGAUAGACGAGAUAGAACGUAGCUGAAGGAUUUAUUCACAGGACGUUGUUUUGCAGUUCUCGGGGUUGGCGAAAAAUCCAAGGAAAGGAGAACAGCAAGAAACCUGAAGAGGAGAAGGAGAAGGUGAGCAGCAGCUAAAGUAGACGUGGAAACGUGAAAGAUAGAUAUACAUAUUGUGACGACAUUAUUUAGAGCUCAUUUGACACAACCAAUGAAACUUACCAGUAAAUGAAGGACGGUGGCUCAGGUGUUUGAAGUACUGUGCAAGUGAGGUUUAUGUCGCUGCCGCUCUUAAUAUAUAACUCUGCAUUGCCUGAAAUUUCAGCUUUGGAUACUGAAACAAAUUCAUAAUUUCAUUUUUCAUAAAUGCCAUGCUAUUAAUAAAUCGGCAUGCCUCCGACAGAGAGUAUGUGAGUGGUACAAAAUACGAAUUACAAUUCUGUCAGUUUAUUGCUGGUGUAUAAGUUGUACUUGAGGUGACAGGAGUAAAUAUAUGAAUAACUAUGAGAAUAGCGUAACUAUAU